rnacentral:rRNA from 1 species
GUCUACAGCCAUGCCACCCUGAACAAGCCCAAUGUCUGAUCUUGGAAGCUAAGUAGGGUUAGGCCUGGUUAGUACUUGGAUCGGAGAUCACCUAGGAAGACCAGGUGCUGUAGGCA